rnacentral:rRNA from 1 species
GACGAACGCUGGCGGCGUGCUUAACACAUGCAAGUCGAACGGAAAGGCCCUGCUUUUGUGGGGUGCUCGAGUGGCGAACGGGUGAGUAACACGUGAGUAACCUGCCCUUGACUUUGGGAUAACUUCAGGAAACUGGGGCUAAUAUCGGAUAGGAGCUCCUGCUGCAUGGUGGGGGUUGGAAAGUUUCGGCGGUUGGGGAUGGACUCGCGGCUUAUGAGCUUGUUGGUGAGGUAGUGGCUGACCAAGGCUUUGACGGGUAGCCGGCCUGAGAGGGUGGCCGGGCUCAUUGGGCCUGCGGUAGGGACCAGAAUCCUACGGGCGGCAACAGUGGGGAACAUUGCGCAGUGGGGGGACGCGUGAUGCAGCGGCGUCGCGAGCGGGAUGCCGGCUUUCGGGUUGUAAACAGAUUUCGAAUGUGACGAAGCGUGAGUGACGGUACUGGGUAAAGAAGCCCCGGCUAACUACGUG